rnacentral:rRNA from 1 species
GGUUAAGCGACUAAGCGUACACGGUGGAUGCCCUGGCAGUCAGAGGCGAUGAAGGACGUGCUAAUCUGCGAUAAGCGUCGGUAAGGUGAUAUGAACCGUUAUAACCGGCGAUUUCCGAAUGGGGAAACCCAGUGUGAUUCGUCACACUAUCAUUACGUGAAUACAUAGCGUAAUGAAGCGAACCGGGGGAACUGAAACAUCUAAGUACCCCGAGGAAAAGAAAUCAACCGAGAUUCCCCCAGUAGCGGCGAGCGAACGGGGAGCAGCCCAGAGUCUGAAUCAGCUUGUGUGUUAGUGGAACGGUCUGGAAAGUCCGACGGUACAGGGUGAUAGUCCCGUACACCAAAAUGCACAGGUUGUGAACUCGAAGAGUAGGGCGGGACACGUGGUAUCCUGUCUGAAUAUGGGGGGACCAUCCUCCAAGGCUAAAUACUCCUGACUGACCGAUAGUGAACCAGUACCGUGAGGGAAAGGCGAAAAGAACCCCGGCGAGGGGAGUGAAAAAGAACCUGAAACCGUGUACGUACAAGCAGUGGGAGCAUCCUUUUGGGUGUGACUGCGUACCUUUUGUAUAAUGGGUCAGCGACUUAUAUUCUGUAGCAAGGUUAACCGUAUAGGGGAGCCGAAGGGAAACCGAGUCUUAACUGGGCGUUAAGUUGCAGGGUAUAGACCCGAAACCCGGUGAUCUAGCCAUGGGCAGGUUGAAGGUUGGGUAACACUAACUGGAGGACCGAACCGACUAAUGUUGAAAAAUUAGCGGAUGACUUGUGGCUGGGGGUGAAAGGCCAAUCAAACCGGGAGAUAGCUGGUUCUCCCCGAAAGCUAUUUAGGUAGCGCCUCGUGAAUUCAUCUUCGGGGGUAGAGCACUGUUUCGGCUAGGGGGUCAUCCCGACUUACCAACCCGAUGCAAACUGCGAAUACCGAAGAAUGUUAUCACGGGAGACACACGGCGGGUGCUAACGUCCGUCGUGAAGAGGGAAACAACCCAGACCGCCAGCUAAGGUCCCAAAGUCAUGGUUAAGUGGGAAACGAUGUGGGAAGGCACAGACAGCCAGGAUGUUGGCUUAGAAGCAGCCAUCAUUUAAAGAAAGCGUAAUAGCUCACUGGUCGAGUCGGCCUGCGCGGAAGAUGUAACGGGGCUAAACCAUGCACCGAAGCUGCGGCAGCGACACUAUGUGUUGUUGGGUAGGGGAGCGUUCUGUAAGCCGUUGAAGGUGUAUCGUGAGGUAUGCUGGAGGUAUCAGAAGUGCGAAUGCUGACAUAAGUAACGAUAAUGCGGGUGAAAAACCCGCACGCCGGAAGACCAAGGGUUCCUGUCCAACGUUAAUCGGGGCAGGGUGAGUCGACCCCUAAGGCGAGGCCGAAAGGCGUAGUCGAUGGGAAACAGGUUAAUAUUCCUGUACUUGGUGUUACUGCGAAGGGGGGACGGAGAAGGCUAUGUUAGCCGGGCGACGGUUGUCCCGGUUUAAGCAUGUAGGCGGAGGUUCCAGGUAAAUCCGGUACCUUUUUAACGCUGAGGUGUGAUGACGAGGCACUACGGUGCUGAAGUAACAAAUGCCCUGCUUCCAGGAAAAGCCUCUAAGCAUCAGGUAACACGAAAUCGUACCCCAAACCGACACAGGUGGUCAGGUAGAGAAUACCAAGGCGCUUGAGAGAACUCGGGUGAAGGAACUAGGCAAAAUGGUGCCGUAACUUCGGGAGAAGGCACGCUGAUAUGUAGGUGAAGUGAUUUACUCAUGGAGCUGAAAUCAGUCGAAGAUACCAGCUGGCUGCAACUGUUUAUUAAAAACACAGCACUGUGCAAACACGAAAGUGGACGUAUACGGUGUGACGCCUGCCCGGUGCCGGAAGGUUAAUUGAUGGGGUUAUCCGUAAGGAGAAGCUCUUGAUCGAAGCCCCGGUAAACGGCGGCCGUAACUAUAACGGUCCUAAGGUAGCGAAAUUCCUUGUCGGGUAAGUUCCGACCUGCACGAAUGGCGUAAUGAUGGCCAGGCUGUCUCCACCCGAGACUCAGUGAAAUUGAACUCGCUGUGAAGAUGCAGUGUACCCGCGGCAAGACGGAAAGACCCCGUGAACCUUUACUAUAGCUUGACACUGAACACUGGUCCUUGAUGUGUAGGAUAGGUGGGAGGCUUUGAAGUGUGGACGCCAGUCUGCAUGGAGCCAUCCUUGAAAUACCACCCUUUAAUGGCUGGUGUUCUAACGUGGACCCGUUACCCGGGUUGCGGACAGUGUCUGGUGGGUAGUUUGACUGGGGCGGUCUCCUCCUAAAGAGUAACGGAGGAGCACGAAGGUUAGCUAAUCCUGGUCGGACAUCAGGAGGUUAGUGCAAAGGCAUAAGCUAGCUUGACUGCGAGAGUGACGGCUCGAGCAGGUGCGAAAGCAGGUCUUAGUGAUCCGGUGGUUCUGAAUGGAAGGGCCAUCGCUCAACGGAUAAAAGGUACUCCGGGGAUAACAGGCUGAUACCGCCCAAGAGUUCAUAUCGACGGCGGUGUUUGGCACCUCGAUGUCGGCUCAUCACAUCCUGGGGCUGAAGUAGGUCCCAAGGGUAUGGCUGUUCGCCAUUUAAAGUGGUACGCGAGCUGGGUUUAGAACGUCGUGAGACAGUUCGGUCCCUAUCUGCCGUGGGCGCUGGAGAAUUGAGGGGGGCUGCUCCUAGUACGAGAGGACCGGAGUGGACGCAUCACUGGUGUUCGGGUUGUCAUGCCAAUGGCAUUGCCCGGUAGCUAAAUGCGGAAGAGAUAAGUGCUGAAAGCAUCUAAGCACGAAACUUGCCCCGAGAUGAGUUCUCCCUGAGACUAUAAGUCUCCUGAAGGAACGUUAAAGACGAUGACGUUGAUAGGUCGGGUGUGUAAGUGUAGCGAUACAUUGAGCUAACCGAUACUAAUGAACCGUGAGGCUUAACCUU